UGCUAUGCUCCCCUUUUGUAGGUGGCCUCUUCCUCAUCCCUUAUUUUUUUUCUUCAAAAAUCUUUUAAACUUUCUAGUGAUGAGGGCUAUUUCUUCAUCUUGCUCUUCAUUUUUUAUUUCAUCAGAUUUCUCAUCGAAUUGAGCAGUAGAUUUGAGGAUGAUUGUCCUCUUCUUCUUGACAUCUUCUUCUUGAUAUUGUUUCAUACUCAGCUC
rnacentral:lncRNA from 1 species